CCUACGGGAGGCAGCAGUGAGGAAUAUUGGUCAAUGGGCGGGAGCCUGAACCAGCCAAGCCGCGUGAGGGAAGAAGGUACAGCGUAUCGUAAACCUCUUUUGUCAGGGAACAAAGGCGGGGACUAGUCCCCGGAUGAGGGUACCUGAAGAAAAAGCAUCGGCUAACUCCGUGCCAGCAGCCGCGGUAAUACGGAGGAUGCGAGCGUUAUCCGGAUUUAUUGGGUUUAAAGGGUGCGCAGGCGGCCUGUUAAGUCAGCGGGAAAAGCCCGGGGAUCAACCCCGGCGAGCCGGUGAAACUGGCGGGCUGGAGUUGGAGAGAAGUACGCGGAAGGCGCGGUGUAGCGGUGAAAUGCUUAGAUAUCGCGCAGAACCCCGAUUGCGAAGGCAGCGUACCGGCUCCACACUGACGCUGAGGCACGAAAGCGUGGGUAUCGAACAGGAUUAGAUACCCGAGUAGUC
rnacentral:rRNA from 1 species